rnacentral:rRNA from 1 species
GGCGCUAGGACCGCGACCCCAGGUCAGGCGUGGCCACCCGCUGAAUUUAA